CAAGUCGAACGAUGAUGCCCAGCUUGCUGGGUGGAUUAGUGGCGAACGGGUGAGUAACACGUGAGUAACCUGCCCCUGACUCUGGGAUAAGCGUUGGAAACGACGUCUAAUACUGGAUAUGACUGCCGGCCGCAUGGUCUGGUGGUGGAAAGAUUUUUUGGUUGGGGAUGGACUCGCGGCCUAUCAGCUUGUUGGUGAGGUAAUGGCUCACCAAGGCGACGACGGGUAGCCGGCCUGAGAGGGUGACCGGCCACACUGGGACUGAGACACGGCCCAGACUCCUACGGGAGGCAGCAGUGGGGAAUAUUGCACAAUGGGCGAAAGCCUGAUGCAGCAACGCCGCGUGAGGGAUGACGGCCUUCGGGUUGUAAACCUCUUUUAGUAGGGAAGAAGCGUAAGUGACGGUACCUGCAGAAAAAGCACCGGCUAACUACGUGCCAGCAGCCGCGGUAAUACGUAGGGUGCCAAGCGUUGUCCGGAAUUAUUGGGCGUAAAGAGCUCGUAGGCGGUUUGUCGCGUCUGCUGUGAAAUCCCGAGGCUCAACCUCGGGCUUGCAGUGGGUACGGGCAGACUAGAGUGCGGUAGGGGAGAUUGGAAUUCCUGGUGUAGCGGUGGAAUGCGCAGAUAUCAGGAGGAACACCGAUGGCGAAGGCAGAUCUCUGGGCCGUAACUGACGCUGAGGAGCGAAAGCGUGGGGAGCGAACAGGAUUAGAUACCCUGGUAGUCCACGCCGUAAACGUUGGGCGCUAGAUGUAGGGACCUUUCCACGGUUUCUGUGUCGUAGCUAACGCAUUAAGCGCCCCGCCUGGGGAGUACGGCCGCAAGGCUAAAACUCAAAGGAAUUGACGGGGGCCCGCACAAGCGGCGGAGCAUGCGGAUUAAUUCGAUGCAACGCGAAGAACCUUACCAAGGCUUGACAUACACCGGAAACGGCCAGAGAUGGUUGCCCCCUUGUGGUCGGUGUACAGGUGGUGCAUGGUUGUCGUCAGCUCGUGUCGUGAGAUGUUGGGUUAAGUCCCGCAACGAGCGCAACCCUCGUUCUAUGUUGCCAGCGCGUUAUGGCGGGGACUCAUAGGAGACUGCCGGGGUCAACUCGGAGGAAGGUGGGGAUGACGUCAAAUCAUCAUGCCCCUUAUGUCUUGGGCUUCACGCAUGCUACAAUGGCCGGUACAAAGGGCUGCGAUACCGUAAGGUGGAGCGAAUCCCAAAAAGCCGGUCUCAGUUCGGAUUGAGGUCUGCAACUCGACCUCAUGAAGUCGGAGUCGCUAGUAAUCGCAGAUCAGCAACGCUGCGGUGAAUACGUUCCCGGGCCUUGUACACACCGCCCGUCAAGUCAUGAAAGUCGGUAACACCCGAAGCCGGUGGCCUAACCCUUGUGGAAGGAGCCGUCGAA
rnacentral:rRNA from 2 species